rnacentral:rRNA from 1 species
UACGUAGGGGGCAAGCGUUGUCCGGAAUCAUUGGGCGUAAAGCGCGUGUAGGCGGCUCGAUAAGUCUGCUGUGAAAGUCCAGGGCUCAACCCUGGGAUGCCGGUGGAUACUGUCGGGCUCGAGUCCGGAAGAGGCGAGUGGAAUUCCUGGUGUAGCGGUGAAAUGCGCAGAUAUCAGGAGGAACACCAAUGGCGAAGGCAGCUCGCUGGGACGUGACUGACGCUGAGACGCGAAAGCGUGGGGAGCGAACAGG